rnacentral:snoRNA from 1 species
GUGAGAUUCAAUUUUCGAUCUAAUGUUACUAAUUUUAGCCUUUAGGCAAAAUAUACAUAUAGCAUCGUUUUAAUUCGUAUAGUAUCUGUGGUCUUGUGUUCAAUUUUGUUGUGUGACAGC